rnacentral:rRNA from 1 species
GGGGGGCCAGGCGAUACGGGCCAUAAACUUGAGUUAUUUAGGGGGAGACGGGAAUUUCCUGGUGUAGCGGUGAAAUGAGCAGAUAUCAGGAGGAACACCCGUGGGGAAGGGGGGUUUUUUGGCGGUAACUGACGCUGAAGAGCGAAAGCAGGGGUAGCGAACAGGAUUAGAUACCCUGGUAGUCCAUGCCGUAAACGGUGGGCGCUAGGUGUAGGGGUCUUCCACGACUUCUGUGCCGUAGCUAACGCAUUAAGCGCCCCGCCUGGGGAGUACGGCCGCAAGGCUAAAACUCAAAGGAAUUGACGGGGGCCCGCACAAGCGGCGGAGCAUGUGGAUUAAUUCGAUGCAACGCGAAGAAUCUUACCUGGGCUUGACAUACACCGGACCGGGCCAGAGAUGGUCCUUCCCUUGUGGCUGGUGUACAGGUGGUGCAUGGUUGUCGUCAGCUCGUGUCGUGAGAUGUUGGGUUAAGUCCCGCAACGAGCGCAACCCUUGCCUUUAGUUGCCAGCAUUAAGUUGGGCACUCUAGAGGGACUGCCAGGGAUAACCUGGAGGAAGGUGGGGAUGACGUCAAAUCAUCAUGCCCCUUAUGCUUAGGGCUACACACGUGCUACAAUGGGUGGUACAGAGGGCAGCCAAGUCGUGAGGCCGAGCUAAUCCCUUAAAGCCAUUCUCAGUUCGGAUUGUAGGCUGAAACUCGCCUACAUGAAGCUGGAGUUGCUAGUAAUCGCGGAUCAGCACGCCGCGGUGAAUACGUUCCCGGGCCUUGUACACACCGCCCGUCA